CCACCUUUUUUUUCUUCCCCCCACCAUUAACAGAUUUUAACAGUUUACAGGUAUACAGCUGUCGUCCCAACAAUCCCAUAAGCUGAUACCUGGACCGACUCAGGAAACAGAAGAGAGCUGGCUGUUAUAACAUUUACCAACAUACCCCUGCCCAAAGCCUUGCAAAGAAAAGAAAAAGACAAGCCAUGAUGAAAAACAGGGUGGUUUGAGUGGAAAAAGUCCUAGGAUGAAGAAUCAGAAAAUUCUACUUCUGGAUUCACCUGUGCCACUUAUUUGGGCCAGUAACUUAUCCUCGCUGAAUCUCAACUUGCUUGACUGUAAAAUGGGAAUGAUGCUACCUGUCCUACUUAACUUUAUAGUGUUGUUGUAAAAAUUAAAUGAAGUCAUGGCAUAAAAA